rnacentral:rRNA from 1 species
UACGUAGGGGGCAAGCGUUGUCCGGAUUUAUUGGGCGUAAAGAGCGUGUAGGCGGCUAGAUAGGUCCGUUGUGAAAACUCGAGCUCAACCUCGAGACGCCGGUGGAAACCAUCUAGCUAGAGUACCAAAGAGGGUGGUGGAAUUCCCGGUGUGAGCGGUGAAAUGCGUAGAUAUCGGGAGGAACACCUGUGGCGAAGGCGGCCACCUGGUUGGAUACUGACGCUGAGACGGCGAAAGCGUGGGGAGCAAACAGG